ensembl:lncRNA
UGACAAUGAGAUGCUCAGUGGGAACAUUAAAUUAACACUUCAUAUUCGUGGCUGUAAAUUUACUGGCGAGCUGAGGAAAAGUCAGGGAAAACAAACACUCCAUCAUUUCUGCUUCAUUUAGCCGCUGAAUGGGGACACUCUCACCUGCAGAGAAAAGAGGUCAGGGCAAACAGGGAUAAUUUUAAUCUGACUCUCAGCCCGGUCUUUAGUGGCGGUGGAUUGUGUUGCUUUCUGCGCGGAAAGUAAAGGGCGGAAGACAAUGUCCCCUUGACGUCUGCAUGAAUGAGCUCAUUUAUCCCCCCCAGCGUCCGGAAACCGUUCCUCCUGCCCCGACAGCUGCAGGCUCUGUUUGCUCAGGGCCAUGGCCAGCCCCACUGCUCCCUGCCCCGCAGAGCCCCAUGCGCAGCAUUGCACCGAGCAGCAGCCGCCGGCACGCCAAGGAGCGCUUCGCCCUGUUUGGGUGAAACGCUGUGGACUGCCGGCCAAGGCUUGGAUUCCUUCCCCAGAAUGGCGUUUCCGUCAUUUAUUUCAACUAUUUCAGUUCUUCUCCUAGCGCCAGGACCCGCUGCCAACUGCUGUUCGAUGGCUAUUUAAUUAAUAUGUGUGCUUCUGUAGCUGUUGUCCUUCGUUGUAACGUAUGUAGGUUGCUCCGCAAGUAAUGCCUCCUAUUUAUUUUCAUGGAAACUGCAGCAGAUACAAAGAGCAGAAUAACGCUGUGUGGUGGAGCAAACUCUCUAAUAAACACUAUUUUUUCAACAUAGUCACCAUCAUUAGCUGUGAGUUUUCAGCCGUGGUGAACAAGAGCCUGCUUGCAGCUCUUGUAAAUAUCUGCACCAGUGGAGGUCACCCAGUGUUUCACAGCUGCUAGCGGCACUGUUGCUAGGAAGAUGUUGCCCACACAAUCUAACUUUCAUUGUCC